AACGCACAUUGCGCCCGCCAGCAUUCUGGCGGGCAUGCCUGUCCGAGCGUCAUUUCAACCCUCAAGCCCCCCCGGGGGCUUGGUGUUGGAGACCGGCGAACCCGGCACCCUCCCCCCUCGCGGGGAGGGCGCCCGGGCGCCGCCUCCUAAAUCCAGUGGCGGUCCCGCCGCAGCCUUCAGUGCGUAGUAGCAUCUUAUUUCGCACGGGAGAGCGGCGCGGCCACGCCGUUAAACGCCCAACUUACGAACGGUUGACCUCGGAUCAGGUAGGACUACCCGCUGAACUUAA
rnacentral:misc_RNA from 1 species